CUUGGUCAUUUAGAGGAAGUAAAAGUCGUAACAAGGUUUCCGUAGGUGAACCUGCGGAAGGAUCAUUCAUAAUAAGUGUUUUAUGGCACUUUUUAAAUCCAUAUCCACCUUGUGUGCAAUGUCAGUCGAUCUUCUUCAUGGAGAUCGACCAAACAUCAACCUUUAUUUUUUAACUCUUUGUCUGAAAAAUAUUAUGAAUAAACAAUUCAAAAUACAACUUUCAACAACGGAUCUCCUGGCUCUCGCAUCGAUGAAGAACGCAGCGAAAUGCGAUACGUAAUGUGAAUUGCAGAAUUCAGUGAAUCAUCGAAUCUUUGAACGCAUAUUGCGCUCUUUGGUAUUCCGAAGAGCAUGCUUGUUUGAGUAUCAGUAAACACCUCAAAGCUUUUGGAUUUUUUAAUCGAAAAGCUUUGGACUUGAGCAAUCCCAACACCAAUCUUUUUGAGAUCGGUGGCGGGUUGCUUGAAAUGCAGGUGCAGCUGGACAUUCUCCUGAGCUAAAAGCAUAUUCAUUUAGUCCCGUCAAACGGAUUAUUACUUUUGCUGCAGCUAACAUAAAGGGAGUUUGACCGUAUUGGCUGACUGAUGCAGGAUUUCACAAGGGUCGGCAACGAUUCUUGUUAAACUCGAUCUCAAAUCAAGUAAGACUACCCGCUGAACUUAAGCAUAUCAAUAAGCGGAGGAAAAGAAACUAACAAGGAUUCCCCUAGUAACGGCGAGUGAAGCGGGAUGAGCUCAAAUUUAAAAUCUGGCUGGUUUACUAGUCCGAAUUGUAGUUUAUAGAAGCGUUUUCGGUGGCAGCCUGGGUAUAAAUCCUUUGGAAUAGGGUAUCAUAGAGGGUGAGAAUCCCGUCUUUGACUCAGUGCAUGCUACUAUGUGAUACGUUUUCAAAGAGUCGAGUUGUUUGGGAAU
rnacentral:sRNA from 1 species